AUUUUAGAGCCAGGCACUUUGGCUGAGGAACUUAAUUUCAACACUUACUCCCUCCUUCAGGUAAUGGCUCCUCAAAUGCCAAAUAAUAAGCGGUAGAAACUCUGCAUCAGUGUCUCUGGACCGUCUGCUCCUAUGUUGCUGGGGAACUGGAGCACUCAGAGAAAACCCCAUGUCAAGAAAAUGGAAAGUCCAGAGAGAAAGUUUCCAGAUGGAUUUGAACAGAAAAUCUGUGAAGGGUCAGAGCUGCCCACCGAGUCAUCAUGCUGUCCUAAAGGGUCCAGGAUGCAGGGACAAGCAAUGAAGCAGAGAAAGCAGUGAAGUAUUGGCUAGCAAUGGUAUUGGUUCCCCCAGGACAACUGGCAGGUUGAAAUGUCAGUGCUGACAAAAUGUUGGCUAGUUUUGCACGUGGAGGUGGGAAAUGUCAAACGUUGAAGUGUAGCAAUUGAACUGUGCAAUUAGGAACAGUUUAUUGCUCUGAUACUGCGAUUGGAGCCAAGUUCGGUUUAAAACGCUUUGCUAAACAGAACCUUAUCAAUGGCGUCAGUUUUUUCACUGCCCAUAAUGUGAAUACGGUGUAUAGAAAGUGUGGAGUCAUACUUCUCACAGUACCUACACACAUGGACAAAAUUGUUGGCACCCCUCUUUUAAUGAAAGAAAAACCCACAAUGGUCACUGAAAUAACUUGAAAAUGACAAAAGUAAUAAUAAAUAAAAUUUGCUGAAAAUCAACCAAUGUAAACCUGACAUUGCUUUUGAAUUGUUGUUCAACAUAAUCAUUAAAAAAAAAAAAAUAACAAAAAACAAAUAAUGAAACAGGCCUUGACAAAAAUGAUGGCACCCUUAACUUAAUAUUUUGUUGCACAACCUUUUUAGGCAAUCACUGCAAUCAAACGAUUUCUUGUAAUCUCUGAUUGCUGUUGGAAGACCCAUGACCUGUGACUGAGAUCAAGCUUUCUGACACUAGGCAGCACAUUUCACUCCAGAAUGCCUUGAUAUUCUUGAAAUUUCAUAGCCAUUGGAAUAUUUCACCCUGUGCCAGAUGCAGCAAAGCAACCCAGAACAUAACCGAGCCUCCUCCAUGUUUCACAGUAGGGGACAGUGUUCUUUUCUUGGUAUGCUUCACUUUUGCGUCUGUUAACAUAGAGCUGAUGUGCCUUGCCAAAAAGCUCCAGUUUUAUCAUCUGUCCAAAGGUCAUUCUCCCAGAAGCUUCGUGGUUUGUCAAUAUGUAUUGUGGCAAAUUCCAGUCUCACUUUUUUAUGAUGUGCUUUCAACAG